UACGUAGGGUGCGAGCGUUGUCCGGAAUUAUUGGGCGUAAAGAGCUCGUAGGCGGUUUGUCGCGUCGGCCGUGAAAACUUGGGGCUUAACCCCAAGCUUGCGGUCGAUACGGGCAGACUUGAGUUCGGACAGGGGAGACUGGAAUUCCUGGUGUAGCGGUGAAAUGCGCAGAUAUCAGGAGGAACACCGGUGGCGAAGGCGGGUCUCUGGGCAGUAACUGACGCUGAGGAGCGAAAGCGUGGGGAGCGAACAGG
rnacentral:rRNA from 1 species